UUUCCAAUUAAUUAAGUUUAUGAAAAUUUUGUUUUGUAUUUUUAGUGAAAGAGUAAAAUUUUAUUUAGAAGAAAUUCAAGAUGGAAAAUGUACAGUUGGCUAUUCAGCUUCAGAACAAGCUUCUGCUAAAAAAGAAGAAAAGUUAGAUUCUGGAAAUGAUUCAAAUACAAAUUCUCCCAAUAGAAUUCAGAUAUCUGUUUCUGAUACUCCUCCAUCUUCAUCUCCAGGGGUAUAAAA